UAAUGAUUUUUUGCUGAAGGGGGAAUUUUCGUUAUAUACGUGGAUUUUACUUUUAUUUUGUAGUGAAAGUUUUAUUUUAACUUAGGGUUUGACUAUGUAAUUUAUGUAUAUGUAAUUCAUUGAGGAUCUUAGUUUUUGAAAAACUAGGAAUUUUCAGCAGUGUAUAAAAUUAAGUAUUUAAGAAAUUAAGACUUAGAAAUUUAUAUAAAGUACAAACAUAAUUUGUGCCAGCAGUUGCGGUUAUACAAAUUGUGCAGGUCAAUCUUAUUUAAUGUAAUUAAAUGUAUAAUAUUUUAAAUAAAUUUUAAAUUUUUUAGGUGAAAUUUUAAGUUUGAUUUUAUUUAAUAAAGUUUUGUUGAAGUUAAGAAAUUCCAUUCUAGACUAGGAUUAGAUACCCUAUUAUUAGGAAUGUAAAUUAUUUAGUUGAAAUUACUAAUAGCUAUGAUCUUUAAAAUUAAAAAAUUUGGCGGUAUUUUAGUCUAUUCAGAGGAACCUGUUUUUUAAUUGAUAAUCCACGAUUACUUUUACUUUAAAUUUUAACUUGUAUAUCGCCGUAGCUUGAAUAUCCUAGGAGGGAUUAAAUGUUCAGUAAACUUUAUUAAGUAAAAAUUCAGGUCAAGGUGCAGUUUAUUUUAAAGUUAAAAUGGGUUACAUUGUAUAAAUAUUUGGUCCAUGAGCUUGAAAAGCCUAGGUAAAUUGGAUUUGAAAGUAAUUUUGUAUCUUUAUGUAAAAUGAUUAUGCUCUAAAAUAUGCACAUAUCGCCCGUCGCUUUCACUUAAGGUGGAAUAAGUCGUAACAAAGUAGGCCUAUUGGAAAAUGGGCCUAGAAUUCA
rnacentral:ncRNA from 1 species